UGAAUUCCUGAUCUGAAGGUAAUAGGAGCGCUUUCUGGCAGUGUGUGGUCUUGGGUUGUUCGGCAUGAACCUGAAGCACAGAUGGAGUGGUAUGCUAGAUAAACAAGAUCGCAAUGCAAGACGCCUGGAAUCUGCUUUCGCUAUAACACAGUUGUCUCCCUAGGGCCGUUGUUUAACUAAUGAUCUACAUUUUCAGAAAAGCAGAUGUAGCUGUAUGAUGUCAAGCUGUGGUCUACAUAGCCAUAAAUCAGCAUUGUUGGUAAAUGCACGGCCAUCUAGAACACGCGCCUUCCAGGAAAUGCCUUUUGUGACCGUAAUGUAAAGGAUCCAAUGUGGGUCGUUUUCUCGUAUGUAUUGGCAUAUAUGAAAGAUGAUAUUUGCAUUAAAAGUUCAAUCGCAAAA